GGUUUAAUUCGAUGAUACGCGAGGAACCUUACCCGGGCUUGAAUUGCAGAGGAAGGAUUUGGAGACAAUGACGCCUUCGGGGUCUCUGUGAAGGUGCUGCAUGGUUGUCGUCAGCUCGUGCCGUGAGGUGUCGGCUUAAGUGCCAUAACGAGCGCAACCCCUCUCCUUAGUUGCCAUCAGUUGAAGCUGGGCACUCUGGGGACACUGCCACCGUAAGGUGUGAGGAAGGUGGGAUGACGU
rnacentral:rRNA from 1 species